GAGUCUGUACAUCAGGAUGGUCAGCACACAGUCUGUGGGACUGCAGCUUCUUUGCGUCACAUCUGCCUCGGCUCUUUGUGAGCCCUGUGAACACUUAACCCAGUGAUGACAGACCUGUGGCACGCAUGCUGAAGCAGGCUAUUAUAUCACUGAAAGCUCUGAAUGGUUCGCCAUUGCUGAUUUAACCUCUCUGCACCUCAGUCCUUUCAGGUGUGGGAAGAUGACCCAGGCCUGACCCAUCCUACCACUCCUUCCAGCCCAGGGGUAUGUCCACAGCUGAGAACAAGGUAUGGACUCCACGAGUGUUCCAGAACUUUCCCAGCAGAGUUAGGAUGAAGACUCUCUUCCUUCCUCAGAGUUGCUGCGCAGGUGCAUGUGAGUCCCAGAUGCUGGAAACCUUCCUCUCUAGGGUUGACCUGCGUUGGCUGUGCAAUACAGCACAAUGCCAGUUCCCACAUCACAACCCUCAGGAGCUACGAGAAAUCUAGCCCACUCCUUUGCUUUGAUGACCAUCUAGACGAGCUCAAAUGGGAUGAAAUGAUUACUCUGGUCCUUGGGUAAAUGAUUUCACUUCCCUGGAACUUCCAGCUGUCUUUGUGUUUCGCCCAAACGGAUGGCUUCGCAUCACCAUUAUCCAUUCACCCGGCAAGUGCUCAUGAAGGGGACUGAAUGUUUAUGCCAGGCACUGUGACAGGCCCUGGGGAACAGCUUGUCUAAAACCAAAUCCAAGCUCCCUCUGUGGGAGUUUACUUUCCAGCAAAAGCAUUAAUAAAAUAAGGAUUACUCAGCAUAUUGGAGAGCAGUAAGUACUCUGAAGAAAGAGAAAGUGCCCUGUAAAGGGGCUCUGGAAUGUUGAAGGAGAAUGGUCAGAAAGUGAACUUCUGGCAAAGACUUGAGCGGAGUGGGGAGUCCUGAAGAUACUGAGGAAAGAGCUGCUUUCCUGGCAGAAGGAAUGGCAGAGGUAAAGGUCCUAAGGUAAGACUGUCUGUUCAAGGUUACACCACUUCCUGCUGGGUGACACAGAGAGUAGAAUUAUAAAUUAGAAAGAGAUAACAUUCUCUGACUCCAAACAAAACAAACCAACACCAUGAAAACAGAACUUCUAGAACAAGUGACAGAGAACCUGGAGGCGCAGAAUCUGUGAUGACAAUAAGAGGGUAGCUUGCGAACACUGAGAAGCCAGAAGAUACAACUGAGAAGGAAAGCAGUUCGUUGGAUUCAAGGAACCACCCCAGGUCUGAUGAACACGGGGCCUGAGCCUCUCUUACCUUUGGAUUCAGAGCAUCCAGCCCAGAUAGAGCACAUUUUAGACUCAAGCAAUGUCUGUUGAAGAAAAAAAU